rnacentral:rRNA from 1 species
AUACGGAGGGUGCGAGCGUUAAUCGGAAUUACUGGGCGUAAAGCGCGCGUAGGCGGAUAAUUAAGUCAGGUGUGAAAUCCCCGGGCUCAACCUGGGAACUGCAUUUGAUACUGAUUAACUAGAGUAUGGUAGAGGUGAGUGGAAUUUCCGGUGUAGCGGUGAAAUGCGUAGAGAUCGGAAGGAACACCAGUGGCGAAGGCGACUCACUGGGCCAUUACUGACGCUGAGGUGCGAAAGCGUGGGUAGCAAACAGGAUUAGAUACCCUAGUAGUCC